GUGCUCUCUUCAGCAGCACAUAUACUAAAAUUGGAAUGAUACAGAGAAGAUUAGCAUGGCCCUGUGCAAUGAUGACACACAAAUUCAUAAAGCAUUCCACAUUUUU